rnacentral:rRNA from 2 species
AGAGAGAGUUCAAGAGUACGUGAAACCGCUUAGGGGUUAAGCCCGAUGAACCCGAAUAUCCGAAAUGAGAAAUUCAAUACUGUUUUAUUGUCGGUUUGCGCCGGUAUGCGAACAGUGUGCACUUUUCUCAUAGUAGGACAUUGCGAUCCAUUAGCUAGUCCCUUUGGGACGCGUUUAUCAAACGGCCUGUAUAGUUUAGUUUAGCUUAUUUAUAAUAUUUAUUUAUUGUAUGGGUUAAAUGCUAUUGCGGUGUCCUGGUAAACAGUUGAUGGAGCUUAACGAUCAUGCAAGCAAUUCUCUUGUAUCACGGUUUUGUGACGCGAAAGCGUUCCAUUAUGCAGUGAUCGCAUGUAUUUGAUCAGCAAUGCGUUAGAUUUGGGAUACCUUCGGGACCCGUCUUGAAACACGGACCAAGAAGUCUAACAUGUGUGCAAGUCAUUGGGUAUCUGUUGAAACCUAAAGGCGCAAUUAAAAUAACUAUAUUUUAAUGGGAUUACAGGCGAUCCUUUGCGAUUGCUUCUCCAUCCCGGGGCGUUCUAUAUGAACAUGGUUCAAGCAAUUGGGCCCUCUGUUUCGAGA